GAUGAUUGAUUAGGGUUUUAGUGUCGUCGGACCAGGCUUCAUUCCCCCCAAUUAUCACUCCCUCACAAUCCGAAUUAACGAAGAAGAUUUGUCCAUUUUCAACUUUUGAUCUAGGGUUUCUAUCUAUGAAUCCAUGUGAUAUAUUUCAAUAAUUCAGUGUAAAACUUAGUUCGAUCUUUAACUCUUUCUCUGACUCAAUUAUUUUUGUAGGUCUUCAAGAUCUUCUGAGUUUCAGGACAAGUUAGCAUUCAGAGAGGCUAAAUCUAUUCCUGGUCAUGAUUAAUGAUUAGGGUUAUUUACUUUCA
rnacentral:precursor_RNA from 1 species